AGUGGCGGACGGGUGAGUAAUGCGUGAGAAUCUGCCUUCAGGUCGGGGACAACAGAGGGAAACUUCUGCUAAUCCCGGAUGAGCCUUAGGGUAAAAAAUUUAUUGCCUGGAGAUGAGCUCGCGUCUGAUUAGCUAGUUGGUAAGGUAAAAGCUUACCAAGGCAACGAUCAGUAGCUGGUCUGAGAGGAUGAGCAGCCACACUGGGACUGAGACACGGCCCAGACUCCUACGGGAGGCAGCAGUGGGGAAUUUUCCGCAAUGGGCGAAAGCCUGACGGAGCAAGACCGCGUGGGGGAGGAAGGCUCUAGGGUUGUAAACCCCUUUUCUUUGGGAAGAACAAAAUGACGGUACCAAAGGAAUCAGCCUCGGCUAACUCCGUGCCAGCAGCCGCGGUAAUACGGAGGAGGCAAGCGUUAUCCGGAAUGAUUGGGCGUAAAGCGUCCGCAGGUGGCAAUGUAAGUCUGCUGUCAAAACCCAGGGCUCAACUCUGGUCAGGCAGUGGAAACUACAUAGCUAGAGUUCGGUAGGGGCAAAGGGAAUUCCCGGUGUAGCGGUGAAAUGCGUAGAGAUCGGGAAGAACAUCGGUGGCGAAAGCGCUUUGCUAGACCGAAACUGACACUCAGGGACGAAAGCUAGGGGAGCGAAUGGGAUUAGAUACCCC
rnacentral:rRNA from 1 species